rnacentral:rRNA from 1 species
UACGAAGGGGGCUAGCGUUGCUCGGAAUCACUGGGCGUAAAGGGUGCGUAGGCGGGCUGUUAAGUGGUGCAUGAAAUCUCCGCGCUUAACGUGGAGAGGCUGUGCCAGACUGGCAGUCUAGAGUACGAGAGAGGGUUGUGGAAUUCCCAGUGUAGAGGUGAAAUUCGAUAGAUAUUGGGAGAACACGGUGGCGAAGGCGGCGACCUGGUCCUUU